UUUGAUCCUGGCUCAGAUUGAACGCUGGCGGCAGGCCUAACACAUGCAAGUCGAGCGGAAACGAGUUAUCUGAACCUUCGGGGAAGGAUAACGGCGUCGAGCGGCGGACGGGUGAGUAAUGCCUAGGAAAUUGCCUUGAUGUGGGGGAUAACCAUUGGAAACGAUGGCUAAUACCGCAUAACGCCUACGGGCCAAAGAGGGGGACCUUCGGGCCUCUCGCGUCAAGAUAUGCCUAGGUGGGAUUAGCUAGUUGGUGAGGUAAUGGCUCACCAAGGCGACGAUCCCUAGCUGGUCUGAGAGGAUGAUCAGCCACACUGGAACUGAGACACGGUCCAGACUCCUACGGGAGGCAGCAGUGGGGAAUAUUGCACAAUGGGCGCAAGCCUGAUGCAGCCAUGCCGCGUGUAUGAAGAAGGCCUUCGGGUUGUAAAGUACUUUCAGCAGUGAGGAAGGGGGUGUCGUUAAUAGC
rnacentral:rRNA from 2 species